GAGUUUGACCCUGGCUCAGGACGAACGCUGGCGGCGUGCUUAACACAUGCAAGUCGAGCGAGGCUCUCCCUUCGGGGGGAUGCCCUAGCGGCGAACGGGUGAGUAACACGUGGGCAACCUGCCCCUAGCACUGGGAUAAGCCCGAGAAAUCGGGUCUAAUACCGGAUAUGACCUCCGAGGGCAUCCUUGGGGGUGUAAAGGAUUCUGGCUAGGGAUGGGCUCGCGGCCUAUCAGCUUGUUGGUGAGGUAACGGCCCACCAAGGCGACGACGGGUAGCCGGCCUGAGAGGGCGACCAGCCACACUGGGACUGAGACACGGCCCAGACUCCUACGGGAGGCAGCAGUGGGGAAUAUUGCACAAUGGGCGAAAGCCUGAUGCAGCGACGCCGCGUGAGUGAUGACGGCCUUCGGGUUGUAAACCUCUUUCAGCAGGGACGAAGCGAAAGUGACGGUACCUGCAGAAGAAGCACCGGCCAACUACGUGCCAGCAGCCGCGGUAAUACGUAGGGUGCAAGCGUUGUCCGGAAUUAUUGGGCGUAAAGAGCUCGUAGGCGGCUAAUCGCGUCGGCUGUGAAAACCUGGGGCUCAACCCCGGGCCUGCAGCCGAUACGGGUUAGCUAGAAUUCGGUAGGGGAGACUGGAAUUCCUGGUGUAGCGGUGAAAUGCGCAGAUAUCAGGAGGAACACCGGUGGCGAAGGCGGGUCUCUGGGCCGAUAUUGACGCUGAGGAGCGAAAGCGUGGGGAGCAAACAGGAUUAGAUACCCUGGUAGUCCACGCCGUAAACGUUGGGAACUAGGUGUGGGCCACAUUCCACGUGGUCUGUGCCGCAGCUAACGCAUUAAGUUCCCCGCCUGGGGAGUACGGCCGCAAGGCUAAAACUCAAAGGAAUUGACGGGGGCCCGCACAAGCGGCGGAGCAUGUGGCUUAAUUCGAUGCAACGCGAAGAACCUUACCUGGGCUUGACAUGCAGGGAAAUCUCGUAGAGAUACGGGGUCCGUAAGGGCCUUGCACAGGUGGUGCAUGGCUGUCGUCAGCUUGUGUCGUGAGAUGUUGGGUUAAGUCCCGCAACGAGCGCAACCCUCGUUCUAUGUUGCCAGCGAGUAAUGUCGGGGACUCAUAGGAGACUGCCGGGGUCAACUCGGAGGAAGGUGGGGAUGACGUCAAGUCAUCAUGCCCCUUAUGUCCAGGGCUGCACACAUGCUACAAUGGCCGGUACAAAGAGCUGCGAUACCGCAAGGUGGAGCGAAUCUCAUAAAGCCGGUCUCAGUUCGGAUUGGGGUCUGCAACUCGACCCCAUGAAGUCGGAGUCGCUAGUAAUCGCAGAUCAGCAACGCUGCGGUGAAUACGUUCCCGGGCCUUGUACACACCGCCCGUCACGUCACGAAAGUCGGUAACACCCGAAGCCAGUGGCCCAACUCGCAAGAGAGGGAGCUGUCGAAGGUGGGAUCGGCGAUUGGGACGAAGUCGUAACAAGGUA
rnacentral:rRNA from 1 species